rnacentral:rRNA from 1 species
UUACGGCCAUAUCAGAUUGAAACGUUGGUUCUCAUACGAUCACCGAAUUUAAGCGACGUCGAGAAUGGUAAGUAGCUAGAUGGGUGAUCGCUUCGGAAGGCCGGGUGAUG